CAGCCCUGUAGGAGACACCUCCAGAGAAAGUAACAGCUCUCAAUUGAUUAGCUGAGGAGACCGAUUUUGUAAAUCACUACUUUUCUAACAACACUGGCACAGAUGGCCAAGCAUUCUCCCUUUUCUCAGAGCUGGUUUUCCAUCCCGGAAAGAGGUCUUACAUAUACAAAGUUACUCUAAUCAGUUGUAAGCCUCAGGGGCUGGAUCCUGACAUGAACCAGACACCUCCAGAAUUCUAUCCCAAGCAAAAGAUUAUUUCAAGGCCAGAACUCACUCCCUGCUGGAGACUGACUACAAGAUCCACUGAGAUUGAUGUGUAACCUGAUUGGGCCCACAGUGAUGCUAGCCCCUUCACCAGAUGGAACAAUAAUUCCAGACAAGCCAUCAGAGCAGGUCACACCACUUGACACCUUCUCGCCCCCUUGCCUCUCCUGCAUUCCAAACCCCUCUCUUUAAAAUCCCCAUGUUCCCUCCGUAAACUGGGCAGUGCCAAUUGUUGGAAAGAAUUCUGGCACUCUUUUCCUUCUUAGCAUGGAUAAAAAGAUUCACCCUCUUUUUAUCA
rnacentral:lncRNA from 1 species